rnacentral:rRNA from 1 species
CAUUACUGAAGACCAUAGGGUUUUGAGACUGCGUCAAUAUUGGCGUGUUGCUCGACCUUACUCUUUAUCCACACACACCUUUGUGCACCAUGGGACGAUAAAAAGUCCCCUUUUAUACAUAAACACCAAGUUAUAUGCAUGUUUUUUAUACGCUCUACGGAGUAAUAUACAACUUUCAACAACGGAUCUCUUGGCUUUCGCAUCGAUGAAGAACGCAGCGAACGUGCGAAACGUAAUGUGAAUUGCAGAAUUCAGUGAAUCAUCGAAUCUUUGAACGCAUCUUGCGCUCCUUGGUAUUCCGAGGAGCAUGCCUGUUUGAGUGUCGUGAAAUACUCUCAAUUUCAAUCUUUUUGUUUGAAAUUGGAUUUGGGCRUUGUYGUGAAUUCACGACUUGCCCUAAAUGCAUUAGCGAUCCUGUCUUUGAUCACACAAUGUGAUAAUAAAAAAACAUUGUUACAGUCGAGUCAAGGUUGCUUCUAACUGUCUGUCACCAGACAACCAUUACAUGUCAUUUGACCUCAAAUCAGGUAGGACUACCCGCUGAACUUAAGCAUAUCAAUA